ensembl:lncRNA
GUCAGAGUCCAGUGAUCUACAGAGCAGAGAAAGGUACUGCUGUCUUCUGAGUUUUUCAGUUUCCAAACUGGGACAUUCAAACCUCAUCACUUGAGCUUGUGUCUAUCUUCACCAAUCUCACACUCACAUGGUGUGAGAUUGCUCUGGAUUCUGGUUAUUGGCCUGCAGCACCUAUGAGAACAAGCUCGUCCUGCAUGCCUGCAUUCCAGCUUCUUAGACUCUACACAAGUGGACAGAGUGUCAGUGUUUGACCACUCUUAGACACCAACUUCUGUCACCUCACUCCAGGAAGACAGGGCUGCAAGCUUGUCAUCAUUUCCAGUGUGACUUGGGGAACUCUUGGGGUAGCAUCAGAUUUUUCCCACAAAUAUUCAAAGAUUUAGAUGCAGUGAUCGAAUGUGCUGCAGCUUUGUUAACUAUUUGGAAAACAUCUGUUUGUGAUGGUAUUUAAAAUGAGGCUUUAAGGUGACAGUUUCCACGUAAAUUCAGUCCUUUUACUAAACAAAAACAUUUUUUAAUUUACAUUCUUUUUAUUUGUUUUAGCAGCACAUCAUUGGUCAAAGGUAAAAAGAGCCACAUGUUACACCAACAAUGACUUUUUGACUCUGUUUGUGUCACCAGAUUUAACAAACAAUAUCAGACCUAUGAAAUAAGUAACUGCACCAUUUUUGGAUAAAUG